rnacentral:rRNA from 1 species
GAUGAACGCUGGCGGCGUGCCUAAUACAUGCAAGUCGAGCGAACAGACGAGGAGCUUGCUCCUCUGACGUUAGCGGCGGACGGGUGAGUAACACGUGGAUAACCUACCUAUAAGACUGGGAUAACUUCGGGAAACCGGAGCUAAUACCGGAUAAUAUAUUGAACCGCAUGGUUCAAUAGUGAAAGACGGUUUUGCUGUCACUUAUAGAUGGAUCCGCGCCGCAUUAGCUAGUUGGUAAGGUAACGGCUUACCAAGGCAACGAUGCGUAGCCGACCUGAGAGGGUGAUCGGCCACACUGGAACUGAGACACGGUCCAGACUCCUACGGGAGGCAGCAGUAGGGAAUCUGCCGCAAUGGGCGAAAGCCCGACGGAGCAACGCCGCGUGAGUGAUGAAGGUCUUCGGAUCGUAAAACUCUGUUAUUAGGGAAGAACAAAUGUGUAAGUAACUAUGCACGUCUUGACGGUACCUAAUCAGAAAGCCACGGCUAACUACGUG